ACGCUCGACACCUACGGGAGGCAGCAGUAGGGAAUCUUCCACAAUGGACGCAAGUCUGAUGGAGCAACGCCGCGUGAGUGAAGAAGGUUUUCGGAUCGUAAAGCUCUGUUGUUGGUGAAGAAGGAUAGAGGUAGUAACUGGCCUUUAUUUGACGGUAAUCAACCAGAAAGUCACGGCUAACUACGUGCCAACAGCCGCGGUAAUCUGAGCGGGCUGGCAAGGC
rnacentral:rRNA from 1 species